rnacentral:rRNA from 1 species
CCUACGGGUGGCAGCAGUGAGGAAUAUUGGUCAAUGGACGAGAGUCUGAACCAGCCAAGUAGCGUGAAGGAUGACUGCCCUAUGGGUUGUAAACUUCUUUUAUAUGGGAAUAAAAUGUUCCACGUGUGGGAUUUUGUAUGUACCAUAUGAAUAAGGAUCGGCUAACUCCGUGCCAGCAGCCGCUGUAAUACGGAGGAUCCGAGCGUUAUCCGGAUUUAUUGGGUUUAAAGGGAGCGUAGGUGGAUUGUUAAGUCAGUUGUGAAAGUUUGCGGCUCAACCGUAAAAUUGCAGUUGAAACUGGCAGUCUUGAGUACAGUAGAGGUAGGCGGAAUGCGUGGUGUAGCGGUGAAAUGCUUAGAUAUCACGAAGAACUCCGAUUGCGAAGGCAGUUCACUGGACUGCAACUGACACUGAGGCUCGAAAGUGUGGGUAUCAAACAGGAUUAGAUACCCUUGUAGUC